GGGUCAAUAAUGAGAAUUUAACUAGUUGAAGUCAGAUGACAUAAAAAUCAUUCUCAGUAGGAUUACACUGAGGUAG
rnacentral:snoRNA from 1 species